UACGUAGGGUGCAAGCGUUGUCCGGAAUUAUUGGGCGUAAAGAGCUCGUAGGCGGUUUGUCGCGUCUGCUGUGGAAACUCAGGGCUUAACUCUGAGCUUGCAGUGGGUACGGGCAGACUAGAGUGCGGUAGGGGAGACUGGAAUUCCUGGUGUAGCGGUGAAAUGCGCAGAUAUCAGGAGGAACACCGGUGGCGAAGGCGGGUCUCUGGGCCGUAACUGACGCUGAGGAGCGAAAGCAUGGGGAGCGAACAGG
rnacentral:rRNA from 1 species